UACGGGGGAUGCAAGCGUUAUCCGGAUUUAUUGGGUUUAAAGGGUGCGUAGGCGGUGGAUUAAGUCAGCGGUGAAAUUUAGGGGCUCAACCUCUACCGUGCCGUUGAUACUGGUCCGCUGGAAUGCGGAUGCCGUGGGAGGAAUGUGUGGUGUAGCGGUGAAAUGCAUAGAUAUCACACAGAACACCGAUUGCGAAGGCAUCUCACGAAUCCGCAAUUGACGCUGAGGCACGAAAGCGUGGGGAUCAAACAGG
rnacentral:ncRNA from 2 species